rnacentral:rRNA from 1 species
GAGGUAACACGUACGGGUCGAACCUAGACCCGCGAAGACCGGGACGUAACUCCGGGAAACCGGGAAGGCUAAUACCGGACUAACACCGAAGAACCGCAUGGUCUUCGGUUGUAAAGGCGGCCUUUGGGCUGUCACUUGCGGAUGGGCCCGCGGCGCAUUAGCUAGUUGGUGAGGUAACGGCUCACCAAGGCGACGAUGCGUAGCCGGCCUGAGAGGGUGACCGGCCACACUGGGACUGAGACACGGCCCAGACUCCUACGGGAGGCAGCAGUGGGGAAUCUUCCGCAAUGGGCGAAAGCCUGACGGAGCGACGCCGCGUGAGCGAAGAAGGCCUUCGGGUCGUAAAGCUCUGUUGUGAGGGACGAAGGAGCGCCGUUCGAAGAGGGCGGCGCGGUGACGGUACCUCACGAGAAAGCCCCGGCUAACUACGUG